rnacentral:rRNA from 1 species
CUACGGGUGGCACCAGUGAGGAAUAUUGGUCAAUGGGCGCGAGCCUGAACCAGCCAUCCCGCGUGCAGGAUGACGGCCCUAUGGGUUGUAAACUGCUUUUCUAUGCCAAGAAACCUGAUUACGUGUAAUCAGUUGCCGGUAGCAUAGGAAUAAGCAUCGGCUAACUCCGUGCCAGCAGCCGCGGUAAUACGGAGGAUGCAAGCGUUAUCCGGAUUCAUUGGGUUUAAAGGGUGCGCAGGUGGGCUUGUAAGUCAGUGGUGAAAUGCUGCCGCUUAACGGUAGAACUGCCAUUGAUACUGCGAGUCUUGAGUAUGGUUGAGGUAGGCGGAAUGUGUUGUGUAGCGGUGAAAUGCAUAGAUAUGACACAGAACGCCAAUUGCGAAGGCAGCUUACUAAGCCAUUACUGACGCUGAGGCACGAAAGCGUGGGGAGCGAACAGGAUUAGAUACCCCCGUAGUC